GGAUGUGAGGGAGAUCUGGCUGCGACAUCUGUCACCCCAUUGAUCGUCAGGGUUGAUUCGGCUGAUCUGGCUGGCUAGGAGGGUGUCCCCUUCCUCCCUCACCGCUCCGUGUGCAUCCCUCCUGAAGCUGCACGCUCGGUCAAAGGGGACGACCAUCCCCGAUAGCGGAGGACCGCUCUUCUCGGUCAAGGGUGUACGAGCAGCUGUGCUCCCCUGCUAGACCCUCCAAACAAGCUCUCAAAAUUUAUGUUUAUAAUUUCAAAUGUUCCCAUUUGGCAGUAUCAUUGCUUUGCUUUAAAAAUUUGUUUAUG
rnacentral:snRNA from 1 species